rnacentral:rRNA from 1 species
CCGUGGAGAAUGGACUAGCUACUGAAUCAUAGAAUUUCUUUAAAUUCAUGAUGUCGUAAGGGAAAAUAAUGAUAUUACCUUACUAUGAGUGUCGUCCAAAGCUGGUGCCAGAAGACUCGGUAAGACCAGAGACGCAAACGUUAAUCAUCUUAAACAGGCGUAAAGGGUUUGUAGGCAGCUUUCAUAAUAUUAUUUCUUACAAAAAUAAAGAAGUGGUCUGAUUGAAAGCUAGAAUCAAAAAGAGGUUAUAGUGUAUAACGCCUAGAGGAGGGCUGAUAUCCUUAGAUCCUAGGCAGAAUACUUAGGGCGAAGGCCACUCUCCACUAAUGAUUGACGCUGAGAAACGAAGGUAAGGGUAGGAAAUAGGAUUAGAUACCCCGGUACUCCUUUCUGUAAACGAUGAAUGGUAGUCAUUAGUAAAAUUAACUAGAGACGAAGUUAACACAAUAACCAUUCCGCCUUGUGAGUACUACUGCAAAGUAGAAAACAAAAAAAUUAGUCGGUCUCGAAGCAAACGGAGUGAAGCAUGUUAUUUAAUUCGAUUAAUCCGCA